GAUGCCUGAGUUUUGUGCCGCCUACGGUUGCAAUAACCAGCGAUCACUUCAGACCAGAUCGCGUGGGAUUACCUUUCACAAGUUUCCCACAAAUGAGAGUCUGAGGAGGCAGUGGGAAGUUGCUCUACGAAGGGAAAGUUUCACAGCAACAAAGCACACAAAGCUGUGCAGUGAGCACUUCAAGCCGUAUCAUUUUGACAGGACGGGUCAGAUUGUCCGGCUUAGAGAUGGUGCCAUACCAUCUCUUUUCAACUUCCCGUCUCAUCUCCAAAGACCAGUAGCAACCAGGACCACAAAAGUGGCAAGAAAAGCUGAAGUGGACCUUUCUCAGCAUUUGCCUGAAGCUGAACCUCAGCCCAAUGCAGACCACCUCUAUGCAUUGCCAGAUUCCAAUUGUCUGAAGGCCAGACUUGGAGAAGCUUUGGCUCGAGUGGAGAGUCUGGAGCGGGAGAAGGCAAAUGCUCAGGCCCGAGAAAGGAGGGCAAAGAAGACAGUAAAAGGUCUUCUGGAGGAUCUUCAGAAAAAGAACCUCAUAGCUGAAGAUUUGAAAGAGAGGCUUGAUUUUUACUCAGGUAAAAUUACAUGAUCUUCAGAUAGACCUAUUUCAGAAGAGGGGCCAUGACUACACCAAGGACCAGAGAGAGUUUGCCCUUACACUCCACCUCCAUGGUCCAAAAACGUACACUUACCUGAGGGAGUCUCUGCAUCUUCCCCUCCCACAUCCACACACAUUGCAAAGGUGGAUGCAAUCAGUGGAUGCCAAGCCGGGACUCAACAUGAUGAUGUUGGACAUGUUGGAAAGAAAGAAAAAAGAAGACCCAGCCAAGUAUGGUUGUGUGGGACUAAUGUUGGAUGCCAUGGCCAUCAAAAAGCAUGUCCAGUACAACCCCCAUACACAAAAAAUGUCUGGAUUUGUGGAUAUGGGGGAUGGUAUCAAUGAGACUGAUGUAGCCACAGAGGUGCUAGUCUUUAUGGUGGUUGGCCUACAGGGUCAUUGGAAAGCUCCAAUUGCCUACUUUAUCACAAAGUCUCUGUCACCAGACACACAGAAGGUCCUGGUUGUCCAUGCUUUAGAGCAACUGCAUGCACAUGGCAUAAGAGUGGUCUGCAUGACAAUGGAUGGGCAUGCCUCCAACGUCAACAUGUGUAAUCAACUCGGGUGCCAACUGAAAGGAAACCCUCUUCAGCCGUUGCAAACCUCCUUUCAACAUCCAGUGACUGGUGACAGGGUCUUUGUGUUGAUGGACGCAUGU